CACGUAGGGUCCAAGCGUUGUCCGGAUUUAUUGGGCGUAAAGAGCUCGUAGGCGGCUUGGUAAGUCGAGUGUGAAAACUCUGGGCUCAACUCAGAGACGCCACUCGAUACUGCUAUGGCUAGAGUCCGGUAGGGGAGUGUGGAAUUCCCGGUGUAGCGGUGAAAUGCGCAGAUAUCGGGAGGAACACCAGUAGCGAAGGCGGCACUCUGGGCCGGAACUGACGCUGAGGAGCGAAAGCGUGGGGAGCGAACAGGAUUAGAUACCCUGGUAGUCCACGCCGUAAACGGUGGGCACUAGGUGUGGGGGGCCGUCAACGCCUUCUGUGCCGAAGCUAACGCAUUAAGUGCCCCGCCUGGGGAGUACGGCCGCAAGGUUAAA
rnacentral:rRNA from 1 species